GACGAACGCUGGCGGCGUGCUUAACACAUGCAAGUCGAACGGAAAGGCCCUGCUUUUGCUGGGUGCUCGAUUGGGGAACGGGUGAGUAACACGCGAGUAAACUGCCCUUGUCUGUGGGAUAACUUCUGGAAACUGGGGCUAAUACCGGAUAGGAGCUCCUGAUGCAUGGUGGGGGUUGGAAAGUUUCGGCGGUUGGGGAUGGACUAGAUGCUUAUCAGCUUGUUGGUGAGGUAGUGGCUUACCAAGGCUUUGACGGGUAGCCGGCCUGAGAGGGUGACCGGCCACAAUGGGACUGCGGUACGGAGCAGACUGCUACGGUCCGCAGCAGUGGGGAAUAUUGCGCAAUGGGCGGAAGCCUGAUGCAGCAACGCCGCGUGCGGGAUGACGGCCUUCGGGUUGUAAACCGCUUUCGCCUGUGACGAAGCGGGAGUGACGGUAAUGGGUAAAGAAGCACCGGCUAACUACGUG
rnacentral:rRNA from 1 species